rnacentral:rRNA from 1 species
UGGGGAAUAUUGCACAAUGGGCGCAAGCCUGAUGCAGCCAUGCCGCGUGUGUGAAGAAGGCCUUCGGGUUGUAAAGCACUUUCAGCGGGGAGGAAGGCGAUAAGGUUAAUAACCUUGUCGAUUGACGUUACCCGCAGAAGUAGCACCGGCUAACUCCGUGCCAGCAGCCGCGGUAAUACGGAGGGUGCAAGCGUUAAUCGGAAUUACUGGGCGUAAAGCGCACGCAGGCGGUCUGUCAAGUCGGAUGUGAAAUCCCCGGGCUCAACCUGGGAACUGCAUUCGAAACUGGCAGGCUAGAGUCUUGUAGAGGGGGGUAGAAUUCCAGGUGUAGCGGUGAAAUGCGUAGAGAUCUGGAGGAAUACCGGUGGCGAAGGCGGCCCCCUGGACAAAGACUGACGCUCAGGUGCGAAAGCGUGGGGAGCAAACAGG